GGGCAGGUGAUCCGAUUGGUAAUGGUGAUUCUCUGUAAAAGAAUUGGUUUAUAACCGUAAAAGGUUCGAUUCCUUUACUGCUCA
rnacentral:tRNA from 1 species